rnacentral:rRNA from 1 species
UGAGGAAUCUUGCGCAAUGGGGGAAACCCUGACGCAGCAACGCCGCGUGAGUGAGGAAGGCCUUCGGGUCGUAAAGCUCUGUCAGAUGGGAAGAAAUGGGUGGGGGCUAAUAUCGCCCAUCCUUGACGGUACCAUCAGAGGAAGCACCGGCUAACUCCGUGCCAGCAGCCGCGGUAAUACGGGGGGUGCGAGCGUUGUUCGGAACCAUUGGGCGUAAAGCGCGCGCAGGCGGCUUGGUGAGUCAGAUGUGAAAGCCCUGGGCUUAACCCAGGAAGUGCAUUUGAUACUGCCUCGCUAGAGUACGGGAGAGGAAAGUGGAAUUCCUGGUGUAGAGGUGAAAUUCGUAGAUAUCAGGAGGAACACCGGUGGCGAAGGCGACUUUCUGGCCCGAUACUGACGCUCAGGCGCGAAAGCGUGGGGAGCAAACAG